ensembl:misc_RNA 7SK 7SK RNA
AGAUGUGAGGCUGAUCUGGCUGUAACAUCUGUCACCCCAUUACUCACCAGGGUAGAUUCAGCUGAUCUGGCUAGUGAGGCCGGUGUCCCCUUCCUCCCUCACUGCUCCACGUGACUCCUUCCCGAAGCUGUGCCCUCAGUAGAAGAGGACGACCAUCCACAAUAGAAGGGGACUGGUCUUUGGUCAAGGGUGUAAGGGUAGCUGUGCUCCCCUGCUAGAACCUCCAAACAAGCUGUCAAGGUUCAUAAACGUGAUUUUGUUACAAUUGUUAUAUGAUCAAUAAUUGAGCUUCAUCGUAAUGGUGUUCAAAGAUCCCUGCACUUUGGAGUCAGGGAGCCUCU